rnacentral:rRNA from 1 species
GACGAGGGCGCGAGCGUUGUCCGGAUUUAUUGGGCGUAAAGAGCGCGCAGGCGGUCGUUCAAGUCGCGUGUGAAAGCCCCCCGGCUCAACUGGGGAGGGUCACGCGAUACUGAUCGACUCGAAGGCAGGAGAGGGUAGUGGAAUUCCCGGUGUAGUGGUGAAAUGCGUAGAUAUCGAGAGGAACACCUGCGGCGAAGGCGGGUUGCUGGGCUGAUACUGACGCUGAGGCGCGAAAGCCAGGGGAGCGAACGGGG